GAUGAACGCUGGCGGCGUGCUUAACACAUGCAAGUCGAACGGAAAGGCCCUGCUUUUGUGGGGUGCUCGAGUGGCGAACGGGUGAGUAACACGUGAGUAACCUGCCCUUGACUUUGGGAUAACUUCAGGAAACUGGGGCUCAUACCGGAUAGGAGCUAUUGCUGCAUGGGGGGGGUUGGAAAGUUUCGGCGGUUGGGGAUGGACUCGCGGCUUAUCAGCUUGUUGGUGGGGUAGUGGCUUACCAAGGCUUUGACGGGUAGCCGGCCUGGGAGGUUGACCGGGCACAAUGGGACUGAGGGACGGACCAGACGCCUACGGGAGGCAGCAGGCGAGAGUAUGGCAGAAUGGGGGGAAGCCAGAGGCAGCAACGCCGGGUGCGGGAUGACCGCCUUCGGGUGGUAAACCGCUGUCGCCGGUGACGAAGCGGUAGUGACGGUAACGGGUAAAGAAGCACCGGCUAACUACGUG
rnacentral:rRNA from 1 species